AUGAGGGUCAAGCUUGAGCUCCUCAUGCCCUUGCUGGCGCAAUACAAAACACCCGCAUGGGCCACAUUGGUCGCCGGGUUCUUUGUGCUGUUUGCCCUUUCCCUCUCCAUGUACCUGAUAUUUGAGCAUCUAUCGGCGUACAACAACCCAGAGGAACAGAAAUUUGUUCUGGGUGUUAUUUUGAUGGUCCCUUGCUAUGCAAUUGAGUCGUAUGUCUCUUUGGUAGAUCCAAAUAUCACUGUCUACUGUGGCAUCUUGCGCGAGGGUUACGAAGCAUUAGCUAUGUACUGCUUUGGAAGAUAUAUCACAGCAUGUUUAGGUGGGGAAGAAAAAACGAUAGCCUUUUUGAAGAGGGAAGGCGGCUCAGAUUCUGGGCAACCCCUUUUGCAUCAUGCCUCCGAGAAAGGAAUCAUACACCAUCAUUUUCCCGUGAAUUAUAUUUUGAAACCCUGGCGAAUGGGGAUGCGAUUUUACCAGAUUAUCAAAUUUGGAAUCUUCCAAUAUGUGAUUAUAAAGACGCUCACAGCUAGCUUAUCUCUUUUUCUAGAAGCUUUUGGUGUAUAUUGUGAAGGUGAAUUCAAUUUACGAUGUGGAUACCCUUAUUUCGCUGCAAUCCUGAAUUUCAGUCAAUUUUGGGCCCUAUACUGUUUAGUGGAAUGGUACACAGCUACCAAGGACGAAUUGGCACAUAUAAAACCUCUGGCUAAGUUUCUUUCGUUCAAGUCAAUAGUAUUCUUGACUUGGUGGCAAGGGGUGGUGAUUGCAAUAAUGUAUUCUUUGGGCCUGCUUAGAAGUCCUUUAGCCCAGAGCUUGCAGUUAAAAUCAAGUAUUCAAGAUUUCAUUAUUUGCAUAGAGAUGGGCAUUGCGUCAGCUGUUCACCUCUAUGUGUUCCCUGCUAAACCCUACGAGCUCUUAGGUAACCAGUCACCUGGAAACAUUUCAGUCCUUGGAGAUUACGCAUCCUCUAACCCUAUAGAUCCUGAAGAAGUCAAGGAGAGUAACCGGCCGAGCAAAAUGAAGCUUCCACAGUUCGAACCGGAUGAGAGAAGUGCAACAAACAUAAAGGAGAGUGUUCGCGACUUUGUGGUUGGCAGUGGGGAAUAUGUGAUCCAGGAUUUUAAGUUCACUGUUAACCAAGCAGUGCGACCGGUGGAGAAGCGGUUUGAUAAACUGCUGAAAAAGAAAGACAAGUAUAAGAACACCCAGGAUGACAACUGGGUGAGUGCAGCAUCACCAGAGAGACCGGUUCGUGGCAUCGAUGAUCCGCUAUUAAGCGGGAGCACAAGUGACAGUGGGGUCUUGAAGGGCAAAAAACACCGUAGAAUUGUCAGCACAGUUGCUACCGCGGAUAGUUGGGGAGGUGGUGGUGAUAAGACACCUGAUGGCUACGAGAUAAGGGGCCGCCGCUGGGCAGUGAAGAAUUGA
rnacentral:rRNA from 1 species